rnacentral:rRNA from 1 species
GUGGGGAAUCUUGCGCAAUGGGCGAAAGCCUGACGCAGCCAUGCCGCGUGAAUGAUGAAGGUCUUAGGAUUGUAAAAUUCUUUCACCGGGGACGAUAAUGACGGUACCCGGAGAAGAAGCUCCGGCUAACUUCGUGCCAGCAGCCGCGGUAAUACGAAGGGGGCUAGCGUUGCUCGGAAUUACUGGGCGUAAAGGGCGCGUAGGCGGACAGCUUAGUCAGAGGUGAAAGCCCAGGGCUCAACCUUGGAAUUGCCUUUGAUACUGGCUGUCUUGAGUUUGGGAGAGGUGAGUGGAACUCCGAGUGUAGAGGUGAAAUUCGUAGAUAUUCCGAAGAACACCAGUGGCGAAGGCGACUCACUGGCCCAAUACUGACGCUGAGGCGCGAAAGCGUGGGGAGCAAACAGGAUUAGAAACCCUGGUAGUCC